UAUCACUCAGGAGCUGUGUGACCUUGGGCUAGAAGUGAAGCUCUCUGAAUUUCAGUUUCCUCGCCUGAAGGUUGGGAUUAAUAGCAGCUCUAAGUUAUUCUAAGAACAACACGGGAUUCACUCCGUAAAGUGGCUGAUGUGCUGUCGGCGGUUCUGAAUGGGUUCAGCAAAUGUUAGGUGCUUUUGUUAUUACACAUUAGGAAGUGAGACUACAUAUUCAUUCGUUCAUUCAUUCCAUCCAUGAUUACUGACUUUCACUACGUCAUAGACACCAUUCUAGAAGCUGAACAUAAAGUUCUGCCCUCAUGGUGCUUACGUGGUAGUGAGGGACACAGAUGAUCCGCAGGACCCUGCAUGAUAUACAUGGCUCUUGACCUGGGCUGUGCCACGACCACAGUCCCCAGCCAGCAGCGGUGUCACCUGGGAGCUGACCAGGAGGAAUGCAGAGUCUCAGUCCCACCCCAAACUGCAAGGCCCACUUGGAACCUGCACAGAGGAAGAGUGCUCAUGGCCGCUUUACCUGCCUUUGAGUCUGCCAGCUCCAGCUCCAGCAAGACCCCCUGCCCCUUCCUUCUACAGUGAAGGCCAUCCUUUCCACUUGCAGACAGCACUGAAGUCCCUUUGGCAGCAGCAGCUGCAGUGGGGAUGAGAGCUUGCAGGGACCCACCCUCACUCCUUGGUCCAAUUCUCCUGACUCAUAGCUCUCACCAAGGAAGGAAGCUGUCUCUGGAGAGGCUCAGCUCUCGAAUACUGGCCUUAAUGUUCCUCUAGCCAAGAUGGCACCUGUCAAGUCUACCUCCUUCCCAACUGUAUAAUUAUAAAUCUCCAGGCCACAACUGUGUAAGAAAAUAAAAUCUGUUUACUAAACAUGAGCUUGCAACUUUCAGUGAAGCACCACUGGCAAAUACUGUAGAGUGAUUAGGCAUCUGGGUCUUUAGACACACAGUGGGGACUGGUGCUAUGGUGUAGUGGGUGAAGCUGCCACCUGCAGUGCCAGCAUCCCAUCCCAUAUGGACGCCAGUUCGAGUCCUGGCUGCUCCACUUCUGAUAUGACUCUCUGCUGUGGCCUGGGAAAGCAGUAGAAGAUGGCAUAGUGGGUAAAGCCACCAUCUGCAAUGCUUGCAUCCUAUAUGGGCACCAGUUUGAGUCCUGGCUGCUCCAUUUCUGAUCCAGUUCUUUUCUAAGGCCUGGGAAGGCAGUAGAAGAUGGCCCAAGUCCUUGGGCCCCUGUACCUACAUGGGAGACCUGGAAGAAACUCCUGGCUCCUGGCUUUGGAUUAGCACAGUUCUGGCCUUUGUGGCAAAGUGGGGAGUGAAUCAGUGGAUGGGAAGACCUACCUCUCUCUCUCUCUCGCUCUCUCUCUCUCUGCCUCUCCUUCUCUGUGUAACUCUGACUUUCAAAUAAAUAAAUAAAUCUUAAAAAAAAGACACACACUGGUUUUAAACCCCAGCUCAGUCAUGCUAGCUCACCCCUAGCUCCAGUUGUUUUUUCCUCUCUUUUUUCUUUGUCUGAAACUGGGGAAAGGAGAAUGGUAGAGUAUCUACUUCUCAGGUAAUACAUUUAAUGAAUUUUUGCAAGUCUGAAAUAAACUAAGCAUUCUAAAACUGGUAGUGGUCCCCACAGUUCCUGUUUCCUGUGUAUCCAGUUGUACAGCAAGCUACACUAACAAGAAAAACACCCCUGAGAAGACAGGACCCAACUUCAGUUAAGGGAAUAUGAAGAGAGGUUCUGCCGCUCGUAGGGAUGAGAGAUGGUAAAACUCAACUGGAGAGAUGACGUGAGAAUGCAGAGGAGCACACACAUGCAGGAGAGGUUUCUGAAAUAGGGCCCCGAGGACUUUGAGAUCUCUUGUGUACAACGGGGAAGGAAACAAAGAGUUGAGAUUUCUUAUCCUGUUCUUGCAUGAAUGGUUACGACCACACUCCACAGGAACAUGGAGAAAGUUUCAUGAGAAAGGAUGAGAAGUUCAGUGGUAGUCUAUGACCUUUAGGGGAAUACACGUUCUGAACAAGAAAUGUGCAGUUCUUUAGCAUGCAGGUUAAAUAAACAUUUAAAAAUGCUCCAGAAUCAUUAGUCAGCAGCUAUGCUAGGUACAAGUACAGUGAGACACUAGCAUGGCUCUAUCUAAAAGGACAGACAAUGCCAAGAGUCAGUGAAGAGACUGUAGGUGGGAGUGCAAACUGAUAUGACCACUUUGGGAAAAAUUCUGGCAGUAUUUUUGAAAGCUGACAUGUGUUAGUAAUUCUACUUCUGAUGACAUACAUGGCUGAAAUGAAUGCUCGCCCACAAAAACACAGGUAUGAAAAUGCUCACAGUGAUAUUAUUCACAAAAACUGGUAGCAAGCCAACUGUCCUAAACAUAAAAUGAAAAACUAAAAUAGAAAUAUUAUGUCACCUAUUGAAUAAAAUACUGAAUAUCACAGACAAAAUAUUAACCAAAAUAUCCGGAGCCACACAUAGAAAAGUUCUGAUUGGCAACGUUUACACAAAGUGGAAAAAAAAAAAAAAACAGGCAAACUAAUCAGCAAAAUCUUAAAAAUAAAAAAAGUUACUUCCACUGAAAAUGUAUGUGUUUUACUUUGUGGAGUAUAUACCUCAAUUAAAAAGGAAAUUAAAGAAGGAACACAGGGCUAAAGUAAAUUAAACAAACACAGGGCUGACAUUUUUGAGCAGCUCUUGAAAACUACACACGUAGGGAAACUUGGCAAUUCUGGAAUGCACUGGAACUCUAAGGCUGAAGUGAUUACUUGGUAUGCAAAAUGAGUUGCUGGCUCUAGGAGGACUAUCAGACACUAUUUAAGGUCAUUCUUGGGAUUAAUGGUGAUUUUCGUGUUUGUGAUCCCCGUGGAAUAUGUAAUAAGCCUCCUGAAGGGGCUAAACAGUAUAGGUAGAAGAACUAGAGGGGUGUGUCCUAAUCCCUCCUGAAACACCAGGUAGCUUGGAAGAGCAGUGUGUUCAACACAGGGAUUCCACUACAGGACAUCACUAAGAGAGUGCCGGGACUGGCUAUUCUCCAAGGGGUUCUUCCAAAGGAUGCCCUUAUUGCCACCCAGUUCAAGAGUGACCCAUGAGCUCAGAGUUCCUAGAAAGCAGUAGAUGGUGUGUCUGCCAGAGGUGGGGCUGUGGUGUGGAUUUGUCUCCCAGGAGACCUUUUGUUGAGCUACUUCCUUUCCUGGGCUUCACCUUCCUCAGGUGCAAGAAAUAAGAACCAACCAGCAUUGACCCUUUCUAGUACCAUGAAUUCCAAGAUUCCAUGGUGCUGCAGCUCAAGUGCUUGUCUAUUUGCUAUGUUUAUUUACUAAAUAUUUCUUGAGUACUGACUAUGUACACAUAGACACAACAGCAAACAAGACAGAAAAAGCUCCUGUCUGCAAAGCACUUAGCUUCUAAUGAGGGAAAGAGACAAGCAGACAGAUGAUACAUCCAGGUUAUGUUAGUGACACGAAGACAAUGAUGGACACAAUGUAGGAAGGGCGGAAGUUUGAGGUAGUAUGGCCUAGCACUGUCUCUCCUCCAAGGAACUGAUCUUUAAAUUGAGGUUUGAAUAAUGAGAAGAAACUGGCCACCCUGAGAGCCAUGGGGUGAAUCUGGUACAGAAAAGAAGAGCCAGGUCAAGUGAGAAGCACGCCAGC